CCCCCCGCCCCUUCCACAACAACAGACUAACCAGCUAGAUGCAGCUGUAUCAGAAAUCGGAUUGGUAUCAGCCAAUCUCCUGCCUUAAACAUUGACUAUCAUUAUCAACCCCCAAAAAUCACUAUCAAUGCACGCCUAUUUGACAUCUCAUGGAAGUAAGCAUUAGACUUGCUAGUAAGCUUAUGCAGACCACCUGCUGUUCUACUUAAUUGCAGUGGCAUUUGAAGGUAUUAGUGAAAAUCAGUUUUAUUUAGGCUGCUGAAGAUGGAGUUAGCAUCCUGUCGGCUCUUGGAUCUGAAAAUGUUGAUUAUAGAUCAAGGGUUUCUUAGGAAGAAUUCUGUUUUAAUAAGGACAGUUCUCAGUGUCCCAGCAGCAGUACGUUUCCCAGCCAUGUCUUAGGAAGGAGGUAUUCAACCUUUGGCUCACCGACCAAAUCCAGCUUGUGAGGUCAUCAUCUGGCCCAGGGGGUCCCCACAGGUCUGAAAAUAUAGUGAUGGGAGAGCAGUGGCAGCAUUACUUGCAGCUCCCCUGCUGCCAAAUUUUUAGACAUGGGAGCACCAUGGGUUGGAUGACAUGGCCCUGUGCACUAGGGCCAAUCCAGCAUGCACAGCUGGGCCAAGCACAUGGCGUUGGACACAUGGAGUGACCCUGCAAGCCAGCUCCAGCCUGUAGACAGCCCCAUACCAUUCAUUCAGCCCACAGGACCAGCCAGUUAAGCACCACUGUCACAAUCAGUACUCUGCAUCCUGUGUGAUGUCAGUUUAUCAGAACUUCAUUGCAAAUGUUUGUAGCAUGUACAGAAGUGAUUCCUUACAUCUCUUAUAGAUUUUUUUUAAUAUAUCUUCCCAAAAAUACAGCUAGGAGACUUCUUUGGUUAUGACCAAUCAGACGCCAAGCUUUAGAAGUAUUUUAAUUGAGCGGGAGAGAGUGGGGGCAUAUUUUUUUUCAGAGGGCAAUUUGUCUAUCUGUAUUUAGUUAAAGUAUUCAAUCGUUUUCCUAUACCUGCUGAAACAGUGAAAAUAAUCAUAAACAAAAAAACUUUAUAAAUGAUCUGGGUAUAGCAUCUUUUUCUAGCAUCUAUGAGCUAUGAAACAGGGUUGUAAGAGUGAAUAGGAUUGUUAUCCCAAACACAAACAUGGAAAUACGACAAAUUAAAAGUAAAAUUGGAAGCUGUCUUUCUGAGAGAGACAAAUUAUAAUUUGAAUAUGAAUACAAAGGCCCAGUGCUUCCCUCCGCAGCUGGGGAGGGGGCGAGUGCUUCCCUCUGCAGCUGUGGUGACCCCCAGGACCGCUGGGAUUGGGAGCCAGCAAAUGGGUGCCACUCGGCCUGUUGGCAGCUCAGUCCCCACCCCCCAGCACCGAAGAGGCAGGUAAGGAUCAGGCUCCCCUUUGUGUACGCGCCAUGAGGGUUUAGCUCAGUUUAAUUCUUCCUAAAUUGAAGCAGGGUUUUUAAAAACCCACCAUUUCAAUUUAGGGAGAACUAAACUGAAUUAAACCCCUGUGGUGUGUACAAGCAGCCUGAGAUUCGAAGUACAGUUACGUUACAUUUUAAUGACUCUUCCUAAAAGAGACUGACAUUGAGCAGUCCUAUUUUCAGUGACUUCCUAGAGAACUGCUAGCUUCUUCAUCUCUUUUUGUAACAUGGCUUCCUUCCCUUCCCCCAUCCCCUCUUCUCAGUUCCUGUGGACGUGCCCUGGAUCAGGUAGCUUUCCUACCAUGUUUCGCCUUAUUCCCCUACAAGACUCUUGAUCCCAUUACUUCAUCUCCCAGUUCCUGGGUCCUAAAUCAAAGAGGAGAUUGGUAGCUGCUUGCCAGGAGAUAUUAGAGGACAAGCAGAGAAUUUUGUUUGGUUUUUAAGGGUUUGGUUCUAAAGAUGCAAUCACUGAUGACUGCAUUUGUGGAUAUACUGGAAAGCCUGGGGAUCCGAUAAAGAGAAGCGAUUGAGGAAGAUAUUAGAGGGAUCUAAAUUUUAGCUACUGACCUCUGUAGUGCUGUGGUAUGUGGCAGCAUUCCUUAGCACAAAUAAUCCCACCCACAUGCAAUCCUCUUAGCUAAAUCUAGGAAGCUGAAGAAAAAUGCAAGUUCUCCUUGGUGAGGCAGGCCAAGGAGGGACAGAUGAAACCACAGGGAGGUUUGAAGAGGAACCCUGGUUAGGAAGCAAAAUAAGGAGUUGCUUGGGCAGCAGUGGUGUGGGACUCCCCAAACAGCUCCUUGCCAGGUGGGCUCCCAUUUCCAAGCCUGGCCUCAUGGCACGUGGGGAUGCUGCAAGACCUCUCCCAGUGACCAACUAUCAACACUGCCAAGGGACACCAGGAAGCUUGGGAAGAGACCUAGCUACCUGCUGCCAGGCCCAUCAUGUACGAGCCAGUAAUAGGUCGUGAGUCAGGCAGCUCUUGUUAUGUGCACAAGCUUGAGUAGCCACAGCUGCUGCCACUGUAAGGAUGGAGGUGGGAUUGGGGGGGGUGGGGGGAUCAUUUUUGGUAUGGUUUGAAGCCAACAUCCUGCAGUGGGAAGUCCAGGCUCCUCUCAAGGAUGUCUCACUCUUGGGGUGGGGUGGGUGGCAUCUAUGCCUUUCUGUCUUUAGUCUUUGAAAUCCUGGGCAGCUGACAUUCACUGUAUGGACUGUGGCAGAACUGUCCCCUCUGUCCAGGUUGGGUCCCCACUGUCCAUGAUGGGAUUCUCGUGUACUCUCCAGCCCCUGGCAGUGGGCACUGUUGGGGUGGGAUGUGAGAUACACUGGACUAUACAGCGAAGGGGCUGCAGUGGGGUAGAGGAUGAGCCUAGCUAAGUUGGGAGGGUGGGGCAGGAAGUGAGCUCAUAGAGAUGCAUUGGCAGGCAUUGGGCAGAGGGAUAGUGACCUCACUAAGGGCUGACAUCAGCCUAUAGGGGCAAGCUCCAGCACCCCAGGCCAGAGGCUCAGACGUGAACAGACCUUCAUGGUUGCAGGUCCCUGUGGCUGAGGCUGAUACAGGUGAGAAAGAAUCUGAUUCCUAUUUGUGGUCCCAGGGCCACCUCUGAUCUGUCCAUCCCUCCUUGCCUGCCCCAUAGGUGCCACCCCCAGAAACUCUUGGGUUUCGGGCAAGUGAUGCAGUCGGGCUCCUCUCUGCCUGGCCCCCAUCACCCUUCCUCGUGGUUAAUGAGUUCAGGGUUGUGGACCUUCUCAAUUACAGUCUGUAAUUCAGACCUGGCUCACAGAGCUCUAGCAUGCAACACCACAGUAGUAACUUUGAUGUAAAAAAGCCAGUUGUGAGCUCUGCAAAAUCUCAGCCAGUUCAGCCCCCCUGAAAUGUUUGGGCUCAAGACAAAAUACCCAGCUGUACCCCUUUGGGGGGUACUCUGAUCCCCACAUCCCCUUGCAGCUCUUUCUGUCUGCCGAGCUGUCUGUGACUCUGGCUUGGGUGCUUCUGCACUGAAAACAAAGGUGCUGCUCCAGGUCUCAGCCUCUGGGGAUCAAGCAGACUGCUGCAGACCCAACAAGAGCUCCUCCCACCACCCUUCUGAUUCCACAGGGGCCUUCCUGCCUCUUCCUCCCACCUUUUCCCUGUUUCUACAGGGCAGCUGAGCUGUGCCUGAAGGGAGCCAGCAAAGGACUGGGAUUUUCAUCAGGUUUCUUCCAGGGAGGGCUCAGGCAGAGAUGCAGGGUCAGGAAGGGGAAGGUGAGGCAGGAGGAGGGGUUUGAGGAAGAUAAGAAUGGGGCUAGGGACGUCGUGUCUCCAUAAAGGCAGUGCAAGCAAGAAGCAAGGGUGUAUUUGUGGGUUGUCAUUUAUUGGACCAGGUGUAAAAUUUGGGGGAGACAUUAGACAAGGGCACUGAAGAAGGGUACCUGGUGCUCAGAAACUUCGCUAAUUGGGCAAAAAGACUGUGGCUGAGAGAAAAACACAACAGAAAAAGUAGAAAUUUGAAGUGGGGAAUUCUUUCCCAACUACACAGUUGAUCCAAGAGAAGAUGUCACUAAAAUCAUCUCAAGUCUUGAAUAUGGCUUGGACCAUUAUGACUACAAUACCCAAACCCUACUGCAAGGAAGGCUAUGGCUUUUAUUCAAAUGAGAUCGACACAGACAAUCAGAGGGCAAAGCAUUUUAUGCAUGGUUGUUUUUGUAGCAAAGUCCAGGACAUGACCCCCAGGCCUGCAAGUAGUUUACACCCAACAUUUAGGUCUAUUUUAAAAUGUACUGUUCAUUGUGUCAGGUAAUCAGCAGCCUAGAUCUGUGCCAGUGGCUCUUUGUAGGAACAAACCAGAUGCAAGAGGAUAAUUUCAGGAUGCAGAAUUGUACCUACAAGAAGAGUGAGCCAUGGCUUGGCUGAGAAACUGAACCCCCAAAUCCAUGGCUCACAAAAAGUGGAGCUAACAGGGCUCUGUGGCAUAGGUGUCAGGACAUGGUGCUUUGCAGUCAGUGAUUCUGAGCAGGUUGCUGGGUGCAGGAAGAGACAGUCUGUUGAAUGCUGUCAUGUUGCUCUCAUCGCAGCCCAUAGCCAGCGGUCUUUCUGCUGACUAGUAAAACCGGAGAGGGGUGGGGGCUGAAUAAGUUGGGAAAAUAAUAGUGUGGGUGCUACAUAGAGAGGGAUUUAGCUCAAUGUGCAUAAAGGGGAGCGGUAUCCAACAGGAAAGAAGGAAGCAGCAGAAAAAUUGUCAUACCUGUCUUACAUAGGAAAACACACAAUUUAUUCCUUUCGGGUAAAACAUGACACAUUUGUGAUCCUUAGGUAUUAAAGAAAAAAAGAUACGUCAUUUGGAUGAAAAUGGGAGAAGAUACUCCCAAGGAAUCGAAGAAUGACGGAGGAAAAGCAGGAGGGAAGAAAACUAAGAAGAGAAACAAAGCCAAGGAAAUGAAUGAUAAAAUGACAGAUAUAAUGAUGUGUUCUGUGAACAAGAGAUUCGUGCUGCCAUACACCAGGCGUGGGAUACAGAAGAUUCUUUUGACAUGUCUGAGGUGGAAUCAGCCUCAGAAGAUGGUGAAGUGAAAGAUCCCUUCUUACCAGUGGAAGCAGGAAUUGAUACAGCAGCAGCUGCCAGUGUUCCAAGAAAACGAUCUUCAUUUUUUAAGAAGAUACCACAUGCUCUGUCCAGAGCAUUCUCUUUUCUCUCACCUUGCCUAACGUGCCACAGAGAGUUUCAGAAAGUCGUGCCAGAGACGAUACACACGUGCUAAAUUGGUUUAGGAAAAAAUAGGAAAAAUAUAAAUAGUUUUAGGAAAACAAGUGGAGUGGUGGAGGCUGCCAUUUCUAUUUUGUGAUUGCUUGCAACUUAAUUCCCACGUAGCUAAACUCAACAGAGAGGACAGAGGCGGCAGAGACAGGAGGUCAACUCUAUAGGGUGGAGGGAGGCUGCAUUAUUCAGGAGCAUACCUUUGAGGAUGCAUUAUUCAGGAGCUAAGGUGAACCCUAAACAGGUCACCAUGACACUGGAGGGGAGUUGGAGAGGGAGGUCAGGAACCUACUCAACCAGUAAGUAUUGCCACAAAGGGCCAAAGAACAUGUUGAGAGAACUUGGAGGUGCCGCCUAGCAAGGGUGGAGCGUUCAAGCCAGCAGACAAUGCUAUCAGGAUGGCAACAUUCUCCAGCUGGAAUCAGAGGGGAAUCGGAAGCACCCUGGAACUGAGACAUAGUUCUCAGAGCCAGCAGAUAAAACAAUUUUCUGAGUCAUUAGAUACAGCGGCUGGGGUUUGACCAAGCUGCCCGAGCAGAGCAGCAGCAUGGGAGAGCUGCAUGCAGGGAGGAAACACCCAGUUCUGAGGACCAGUCUGUCUUGGCCUGGCAGUAGGGAGGGCUGAAAGGAACAGUGGUGAUGCCCUGAUCUCUGCUCCCUUUAGGGACCUCAGUGUCACCAGGGGAAGCUUGGGACUCCCUCCUAUGAGGGCCUGAAUCAUCUCUGACCCAUCUCUAAUAUGUGCCGCUUUCCCCCAAGGGCUGGAGUUACUCAGGUGCUGGGGAAAGGGAUGCUGCCAAAUUCACAGCUACUCACUGCCAAAAUUCAAAGCUUAGGGUGCAGAGCCCCCCCAGGUUACGCCUGGCUCCCAAAUCAUGAAAAUUUCUUCAGUAUUAUUUCUUUAAGCUCUUGCUUUUUGAAAUCCCCACUCCAUAACUGGGGACAGUUCCCAGGCUGCCAUCUCCCACAGGGACAGAACAGGAAACUCCCAUACCAGCUCCCAGCGCAGCCCGAGGGCACUGC